rnacentral:lncRNA from 1 species
AGAAAAUACCCAUUAUUAUGAUUAUACACCUUUGGCUUAGUAGUGAAAUUUUAUUGAUUCGAAAUGAACCUUUCAAGUGCAAUAAUGGUAGGUUCAUAGCCAGUCACAUACAAAAUAAGAGCAUUCUUUCGUUUCUCAGACUCUUCUUCUUUGUUUAAUUCAAUGAUUUGCUCAUCAUCUUUCAACUUAGGAGCAAUAAAGUUAAGAGCCAUACCUCAGGUCCCCUAAUUUGUUCUCAUUAAACAAGAUGUUUUAUCCUUGUUUCUUCGCCCGAGGAUCCAGUAUAAGCUUCAUCUGGACAUCCUUUUUAGGUUCAACAUUCUUCUUAUCGCCACUAUUAGCUUGUAUAUGAGUUGUAUUCUCUCCCGACAUAGAUUGAUUCAUUUUCUCGCAUCUAGAAUUACUUUGUAUUUCAGUAACACUAGGGUUAGCGCUUGGGGUUUUGAUGUUCGAUAAUGAAGGCCAAGCUUCAACCUUCACCCCUGUCCAUAUUACCUCUUUACCUUUCCCUCGUCC